AACGAACGCUGGCGGCAUGCCUAACACAUGCAAGUCGAACGAGACCUUCGGGUCUAGUGGCGCACGGGUGCGUAACGCGUGGGAACCUGCCCUUAGGUUCGGAAUAACUCCCCGAAAGGGGUGCUAAUACCGGAUAAUGUCUUCGGACCACAGAUUUAUCGCCUUUGGAUGGGCCCGCGUUGGAUUAGCUAGUUGGUAGGGUAAAAGCCUACCACGGCGACGAUCCAUAGCUGGUCUGAGAGGAUGAGCAGCCACACUGGGACUGAGACACGGCGCAGACUCCUACGGGAGGCAGGAGUGGGGAAUAUUGGACAAUGGGCGAAAGCCUGAUCCAGCAAUGCCGCGUGAGUGAUGAAGGCCUGAGGGUUGUAAAGCUCGUUUACCCGGGAUGAUAAUGACAGUACCGGGAGAAUAAGCUCCGGCUAACUCCGUG
rnacentral:rRNA from 1 species